rnacentral:tRNA from 2 species
GCCUGCCUAGCUCAAUCGGAUAGAGCGUGAGACUUUUAAUCUCAAGGCUGCGGGUUCGACCCCCGCGGUGGGCU